rnacentral:lncRNA from 1 species
AGACAGGCUUCCUAGGGAUGGAACCAACGGGAGAGGAAAAAUUAGACAAUCCAGUGGUACUCCCGGCUCCUCUCCUCACAUGUAACACCUAACUCUAAACUGCCACAUAAGAAAGACGAAGGAUAAAUGAACGGAAGAUAAUUUAAAAUCCAAUUUAGCGUAAAUUUUGUUUUAAUCUUGUGUCUUGAAGAGAUGCAAAUUCAAAAAAAAAAAGAUUUAAUUCAAAGGUAAUUCAGGGUAUGGAGAGCAGCUCACAAUGCAGAAUCCAGAGUAAUUAUUCCGUGUGCAUGUGAGGUUAGUGGCUGGAAUAGAUUUUUAACGCUUCUUCUGGCAAUUACGGUUUUUGGUUUUUGGAGCGUUAGUGGAGGAGGCUCUGUGUGGAGAAGCUGGGGGCCGGCUCCGUCCCUCGGUGGAGCAUGGUCAUUCCCAAAGCGUCCCCUU